AAAAAAAAAUUCCCAUUUCACUCCCCUCUAUGUCCUUUGAAACUGAAACCAAAAAACAGAACCUUCUCAAAGCCCUCAAGAAGAAGGAAAUCCAUCUGCCAGGCCAAUCAAGAUGACUGGUACAAAUCCAUGCUGCCAACUAUUCCCACGUCCACCUCUUUAAAGCUUAAACAGGAAGAAGAGCUGCAGUGGCAAGAGGACUUUGCCUGAAAUUGAAGGAGGAGCUGAGGAAAACAAGGCUUGGAUUGCAUCCCCUGAAGGCCAGAAGAGAUGUGACCACAGCACCCAUUUACUUUUGCUUCAGGAUCCAAGGCCAAGCCGUUUCCACGUGGAUGAACGCAGUUUCUGGCAUUUGUCACAGUGGCAGAACUUGCCAGGCACUGUGACUGGGCUCUCCAGCACCAGGGUGGAUCUAACAUGAUGCAGUCGAUGGUCACAGCUUGUACAUCCUGUCUUGGGAAGUGCAUCCAGGCACAGAGCAGGUGGGGAUAUCCCACAGCUGGACACGGAGCAGUAAGCUGGGAAUGAGAGGAGUGAGCUGUGCUGCCACAGACACCGGGCUGGGCUGGAUCACUCCCUGCAGCAGCCACGGGAGCAGCAAAAGGUCAGCAGGCACUGGCAGGAGGAUGAGCAGAGUCCGGCUAAAGGCGAGGAGGUUCAGCCUCCCAAAAGCGUCGCAGCAGGAGCAGUGACCCUUGCUUUGUUUCUGCAGGUACAAGGCACAGCAUUAGCUUAGGACAGCGAUCUCAGCUGAGACCAAAGGAGGUGACACGUGUUUGCUGUGGCUUUCAG